GCAAGAUAAGCUAAGUAAAGCUUUUGGGCCCAUACCCCAAAUAUGUUGGUGGAAACCUUCUCUUGCUA
rnacentral:tRNA from 1 species